GAUGAGAUCUACUGUCUGAUCAAAAUGUUUCAGUGAACACGUUUCAGCAGUUCAACUUUAUAACAAUUAUAAAUAAACCUGCUAAAUUUUUCUGGACAAUGCCAGCAUUUGGAUUUUUUAAAAACAAGUAAAUUUCUUAUUGAUGGCAACUAAAUGGUGUUUGUAGCAUUUUUAUCAUACAGUAGAUCCAUCCAUUCGCUAUACUUUUCUGAGUUGUCCUACAUGCAAGUACAUGUUUUUAAUGUUGUCUGUCUUCUGUGCUGUUCCUGUAAGUUUGCUAUUAAAAUACAUUAAACUAUAAAAAAAAA